rnacentral:rRNA from 1 species
AAUGAACGCUGGCGGCAGGCCUAACACAUGCAAGUCGAACGAGUGGCGGAGGGGUGAGUAAUGGAUGGGAAACUGCCUGACGGAGGGGGAUAACUACUGGAAAAGGUAGAUAAUAGCGCAUACGAUGGGAUGGGCCGAGGUGGGAUUAGCUAGUAGGGGGGGUAAAGGCUCACCAAGGCGACGAUCCCUAGCUGGUCUGCGAGGAUGACCGGCCCCACUGGAACUGAGACACGGCCCAGACUCGUACGGUAGGCAGCAGUUGGGAAUCUUCCGCAAUGGACGCAAGUCUGACGGAGCCAUGCCGCGUGUGUGAAGAAGGCCUUCGGGUUGUAAAGUUCUUUUAGCGGGGAGGCGUUAUCUGCAGAGGAAGCCCCGGCUAACUCCGUGCCAGCAGCCGCGGUAAUUC